rnacentral:lncRNA from 1 species
AUGAAGUCCAUACACUUCAGAAGCCUGGCUCUGGAGUCUACUGAGAAAACACGGGUUCUAGAAAGCUACCUUUUUUUUCCCUCCUGCAGCAUCUCUCCAAUGGCGCCCUCUACUGGUAAAGCUUUGCCAGAAGGCGAAGGGAGACCCUUCAAAGGGCCUGAAUCCAUUUUCACAGAGCAGCCAAAAAUGGUGAAUUUGGAAGUAAAGGAGAAUACAGUCAAAGAUCGACGCAGUGUCAGAUAUUUUGACUCAGCAAUGAGAAAAGUAACUAACGUGCCAAACAUGGAAGCUUCCUCCUCCAGCCCAUCUUGCUCCUUCACCCCACCAGAUCCCAUGCAAAAGAAGCUGUGGAGAUGGAAAACAUCUUCUAGUCCAGCAACGGUGACCCUUUCAGAGCUUUCAAUGACAAACAGCCUGUUCUAGGCCACCACUGUUCUAGUCCCUGGGAUCUCUAGAAUCAGGCCAAAUUACAGCUAUGGAAUCCAUAUAUACCAGGUAAGUA